rnacentral:snRNA from 1 species
AUAUUGGCUUCGGCGAUACAUAAGCUAAGAUUGGAACGAUACAAGAAAGAUUAGCAUGACCAGUGAGCAAGAUGACACGCAAAGUCGCGAAGUUUUAGAUAUAACC